UGCCAUAGCUCUGUAGCAUGAACAGUGUUUCCAAUAAACCGUCCACCGCAAAACCCGUUAAAAAAUGAAUGAGCUCCAUGAGCUGAGGAGCUAGCAGAUUGCCGGGAUUACAAAGACAACGAGACAGGACCCUUUCCUUAGCAGGAUUUACAGUCUGCUACAAACUGAUACAGCAUGUUACUGUACUGAAUACUGUAGGUGAUUGUAACACAAUGGGCACUGACUGUGAAUGGAGCUUACAGUACUUUCCUGGAAAUUGCUCUGGCUCUUUUAAGAGCCUGUGCCGAUGGAGGUGCCAACCGUUUAUAUGAUAUCACCGAAGGAGAGAGAGAAAGAUUCCUCUGACAGUAUCCUCCAAGACCUGACACGGACAAUGUGUGAAAAAGUACUCAAGUAUGUGUUGUAAAAAAGGGUCUAGGCCAGUUACUUCAGAUAAGAGCGUAAUGCCCAUGAGGCCAA
rnacentral:sRNA from 1 species